CUAUUCCCAGCUUUGCUAUAGGCCUAAUGCGUGACUAUGGUUUAAAAAUAGAAUCCUAGUCGUCACCCAAAACAGCAAAAUUGUAGACAUGCCUAGUGAAGUUUGGAUCAAGCCCAUGAACAGUUUACUAUUUGAAUGAAUAAAGUGAUCUGGAUUUGUAUCCUGAUAAAAAUUGUAGAACUGUGAGAGUCCAGAACAGAGAACCAAAGGGAGAUUGCAAGAGCAAGGAGUGUUCAGCAGCCAUCACGGGUGAUAAGAAGGAACUGAGAGGGUGCAGGGCCCCAUAUACCAGCUCAGGAGCAUGGGACUCCAGAGGGUGCCAGAGCCAGCCCUACGGAUAUCGCUAAGGGAAAAAUCUCUAGCAGCCAUGCAUAUGGGCUGACACGGAAUCAA